ACCCGACCGACAGACAGACCGACCGACCGCCUGCCCGGCCGGCCGCCUUCCAGCGCGGGCAGCACCGCCCGCAGCGCCACGGCCGCCGCCCUCAGCCCGCCCCGCCGCAGGGAAACUGAGGCAGCAACAGCCGGUUCCCCAGUGAAAGUGCAGCCAGUGGAACAGAGCCCAUGCAGUGCCUUGUAUAAUUCUGUUGGAGAGAGUCCAGAAGAGGCCACGAAAUUGAUAAGAGCACUGGGGCACCUCCCCUAGAGAGACAGGCUGGGAAAAUUGGGUGUUCAUCCUGCAGAAGGUUGUGUGGAAACCUCAAAACACCUUUCAGAAUCUGAAGAGACCUGCAAGGAAGCUGGAGAGGAGCUCUCUGUGAGGGAAUGGAGUGACAGGACAGGGGGGAAUGGGUACAAACUGGAAAAGGGGAAAUUUAGGUUAGAUAUUGAGAAAUUUUUCACUUUGAGCAUGGUGAGGCCUUGGCACAGGGUGCCCAGAGCAGCUGUGGCUGCCCCUGGAUCCCUGGCAGUACCCAAGGCCAGGUUGGACAUUGGGGUUGGAGCAGCCUGGGGCAGUGGGAGGUGUCCCUGCCAUGGCAGGGGGGUGGAAUGAGAUGAUCUUCCAACCCUUAAUGUUCUGUGAUUCUAUAAUUUUGUCAUUCUUACAAACACAUGAUUUGAGAAAAUUCUAAAUGCAAUCCUCCAAGAUUCUGUGAUUCAAAAAGACAUAAUCUGGUUGUAUUUCAUGAUUGAGUCUGAUUGACUUGAUGUUUUUAAAGUUUAUGGUUGCUUUAUAUUCCUGUAAAUCAGAUUUUUCUUGAUCCUAAUAAUAUCUAGGGAAAGAAUUCAUUCUCUAGAAUGAUUGGGGGUUUAAGUUGUCUCUAAGUAGGUUAAUUUUGUCAAAUGUACCAUUCCCAAUUAUUUGAAUGUAUUCUGGUUCUUCAAGAUUAGCUUGUUUAUGAAUGUAUUUUCCAACAUUUCUAAUUUUAGAUGCUUUGAUGGGGGGCUUAGUUUGAUAUAUUUUUCAUCUUUAUGUAUGGUUGCAGCUGUUAUUACCAGGUGCAUGUUUGUUAAGUAUAAGGUUUGUUCUCCAUUUGGAGUAUCCAAUAACUGCUCAGAUUAACUUUGGAUCAUACUUGCCAACAAGCUUUAUCACUGGAAUUUUGUUAAAAACUGAGCCCCUGCAAAAUGUAGAAUGUAAAGAAACUUCAGAGAAAAUAAAGGAUGAUUAUACAUGGACAUUGUGAGCAAAUAAACAUGUAAAAGCUGAAACACUUGCACUGGUUGAAAGUAUGAGAAUUACUGGUUUUCAUUGUGUAAAUAUUGCACUGAAAGGCAAAAUUGUGUACUCUGAAUAGUUCAGUGUUUUUGACACUAACAUUUUCAAUAUAAAAAUAGUUGAAAUGAA